rnacentral:lncRNA from 1 species
ACAAUAUGGAAUGAUAAUUAUAAGGUAUAACUUAUACAUUACAUACAGUAGUAUAUAGGAAUGAUCCGUAUGGUAUAAUUUAUAGCAUCAUAUGAUUUAUCUGCUACACCAGUUUCUGAUUUUUGACUCCUGUACAGUCAUGCAGACUCUGUUAUAACGAGAGCAUAGAACAGACUGACGGCUUCAGAAACCCCUUCCUAAUUGUGCCUCGGGAGGGUCGUGGUUCCUAGCGACCUUGGUGAUAAAGGUCCCAUUUAUGGGAUGUGCUCAUUCUUGAGCUCAGGCCUGGAUCCUGUGCAGGCAGGAAGCUGUGGUACGUGCCUUCACCCGUGUUGUCCCAGGCACUCUGUCCCUGAUCUAGAGGGUGACUUCCUUGGAACCUUGUCUCCCUUCAUGUUUUAGGUCUAAAUAUACUCUUGGACCCAAGCCUGACUGAUUAUAGUUAACUUUCUAGGCUUCAAUGGAAGCAGACCCAGCCGUAACAUUUGAAAACAGACCUCCUAGCUACCUCGACCUCGGCAGGGAGGGCCGCCAACCUUGAGGACUUGCCAGGAGAAGGUGAGGAGCUUCACCUCCAUUCGCUCAGCUCCUGAAGAGUCUGAGGCCGCCUGGUUCAGGCACUGCAGAGACAAAGUGCAUGGGGGCGCCACUUCCAAGUUCAGCCAUGUCUCAGCUUUCCCCACAUCAUUCACUCCUACGAGGCAGGCCCUGCAGUAAAACCCAUGCGGAAACAGAUCCCUCAGGGGUUCCAAGACCCAGUGAUGGAGUGAAGUCAGGUCAAUGGAAGGACCCGGGACCUCACUAGCCACAGAGUUGGACGGCUGUUGCAGCAGGUUAGCACAGGUCCCCCGGGGGGCUCUAUGAGCCCAGAACCCCACUCCUGCUGCCCCAUGGGUUCUGCAGGGAGGAGCCACUUUAC